GCCAACGAAAGCUUAUGCCCAAAUACAUUUGUUACUCUCUGUGGUGCCACAAGGACUCCUCGUUAUUUUUGCUUUAUUUUAAUGUAUGUUGGAGUGAGAAAAAUAGAAGCAGGAGAAUAACGUAAUUUAAAUGAAAGGCAGAUAGACAUGGGGGCCCUGACAUCAAUGCCUGUAUCUCCCCCUCUCUUCUGGCUGAUGUUAUCACUACCAGGAAGGCUGGUUUUAUGGAAAGAUGAAAAAGAACUUGUGGUGAAAGGUCCAAGAGGUGGAUCUAUUAACCCUGUGAGAACAAUAAUUAGAUCCCAAGAAGGGGGAGGUUCUCUAACUUUCAUAAGAAUCUGGCCACUGUGGGGUGUGAGAAUGUAGAAGCCGCUUGCAAUGGACAGUGGAGAGCUGAGAUGGUUGCCAGAUGAUCCCUUAACAAUCUCACAGAUAGUACAGAGUUCUUUAAAUUCAGGAGAUGGUCCAGUCUGUCUAGAAUCUUUGCUUGAGAUGGUGAUAACUGGUGGUGUUAUGACCAGAUCAUGAAUCUCUUCAAUUUAGCAGCAUAAGUAUGUCUGGUAGAGUCUUUUCUGCUGUGGACAGGGACACUUUGUACUGCAGAUGAGCAGGUUCUUUCUACUGAAGUCAGUCAGCCAGUAUUUAUGCUGUGAAGUGUAGGGAAUAUGGGAUGAUGGACUUGGCAGUGCCUCUAUAUUAUGACCUCUAGUUGGAAAGCUAUGCAUAUUGACGGCUGAAUGGAGAGAUUCUUCAGGCCUGAUACCAGAACUGUCUUGGUCAUGCUGAAGCUACCAUGAUCAUUAUGGCAGAGUCCUGUCUGAGCUUCCUGAAAGCACUGGGGAUGAACAGAAUUGGAGGGUAAGCGCAUAGGAGGCCUGAUGACCAUGAAAUCAGAGAUGCAUCACCCCUGACUUAGUCUCCGUCCAAACCAGAAAUGUUGACAUUUCCUUUUUGCUCUUUUGGCAAAGAGAUGUAUGCUGGAAUGACUUCACUUGAGAAAGAUGUCUUGUGUUGUCAUCUAUCAACCUGUAAUGGUUGUCCGAAAACUGCUCACUAAGGUGAUCUGCCAGCACAUUCUGCUUUCCUGGGAGAUGAACAGCCUUCAGAGUAAUUUCAUGAUGGAUACAAAAGUUCCAAAGAUGUACAUCCUCUUGACAUGAAGGAGUAGACCUUAUGCCCCAAUGCUUGUUUACAUAAAAUGGCUAUUAACUCCAGGACAUUUGUGUGGAGCCUUGCUUCCUCUGGAGUCCAUGUGGCUUGUGUUUGUGAUCAUCUAAAUGGGCUUUCCAUGCUAAAGUAAAGAAAUCUGUCACCAAUGUUUUUGAUGGUAGUGAAGGGUAGAAUGGUUGUCCCUUUGCGGACUUUGAAGGGCCCCUUCCACCAAUUUAAUGACAGGACUUCUGGUGGAACAUGUAUUAGGAUGGACAGGUAAUGUUUGCUUAGCUGAUACAUAAUACAGAUCUCAAACACCCUUGCAUGCAACAGAAGUCUGACAGGCUGAAUUACAAAUGUGUCCUAGCAGUCAAAAAUGUUCUCACUGAUAUCCUGUGGUAAACGUGAAGGUCAACAGAUAGGUCUAAUAUGACUUGGACUCUCUGGUGGUAGACAAGCCAUCACUGUUAGGAGACCAGCAUGACUGCUCUAAAUUCUAUUUUUUGUGUUGGAGUCAGUAUUGACUUCUUUUUGUUUACUUUAAGGCCUAGAGAGGCCAACAGUUGCAGAGUCUGUUAAAUGAAGUCUAUUACUUGCUGGCGCAACUUCCCAUGAAUAAGCUAGUCAUCAAAAUAUGGGAAAACUUGGACUACUUGUCUCCUGAGAUGGGGAAAACUGAGACAGAGAGCGGUUAAGUGACUUGUGAAAACUCACACAGGAAGACUUUCGCAGAGACAAGAACAGAACUCCAAUCCCCUGACUCCCAUGCUGGUGCUUCAACCACAAGACCAACCAACCUUCCUGCCUGUCUUUAACUUGUCAGUGUCUUCAUUGAAGAUAUUAAGUAAUGUCAAAAGGAAGAGCAGAGACAUCUUCAUUCUCUUCCUGCAUCAGACACCUUCAAGCAGUCUACUGUGCUGCUUUGUGAUUUAACUUUGCAGAGCCAUCCCUAAGUCCUCCAUAGGGAAAGAUUUCCCAUCCCUAAGUGCUCUUUUGCUCCUCACCUCUAUUUCAGCUACCGAAGGCUCCUUGCUGAAGCACAUGUUCAUGAUGUUUCUUGCCGUCCGGUAAAAGGUUGUUAAAGAAACAGACCUACCCUGUGAAUCAAGAGAGCACAAUUAAAAGUGAAAAUAAAAAUGGUACCUUCACCCCCCACCUCCAGUUUUAUUUACUGUGCAAACCUUACCUUCCUCAGCCCAAGACCAGGAGAGGGGAAGGGACAGAAUGUUCUCUAGGAAUAGGUACAACAGAGUCCAUUGAUCUAAUAUACAUUUCUUCCUGAAGCAAGUAUCUCAAAUCCCAUUAAAAGCAGUAGGGAACUCCAGCUUUUAUCAUGGCAAGCAGCAGCUGAUACAGAAAGUGAGCCUAUGCAGAUGUCAUUUUAAAACUUGCACCAAGUCAGUUUCCAUUUUUAAGGUCUCACUUUUUAGGAAAAGUGUUUUAACCUCAUUUAACCUAUUUUUCUGUGCAAACAGAGGCUGUUCAUGAUAGAACAUGCACUACAUGGAGAACAGGAGGACACAAAAAGGAUGACUCGGAGCUAUGUUAUACUUUAUAUUCAGUAAUUGCAUGUACAACAACAAGGCAGCGAGGCAUGGUUCAAUAACAAUAUUAUUAAGACCAGGGAUUGGUAUGGAGGGGCGGGGGGGGGGGGGUUCCAAAAGCAAAAUAGUAAAAUGUGUGUUGUUUCCUUCCUCCACUACUUUGUCUGCAUGAUGUCCUUUAGAUUGUAAGAUGGGUGGGACAAGGAACUGUCUUAUUUUGGUUCUAUACAGCACUUAGCAAACUUUUGAAUAUUCUUUUACAUGUAUAUUAUUCUUAUAUAUUAGAUGCUCACACACACAUAUAAUAAUAAUCACAUUUUCAAUGUAACAGAGAUCCACAGGAAGACAUAGCAUCAGCCCUUUGUAUAUCUGCAACCAGGUUGCCAAAGAUCUUAGUAAAAUACGGUGGUCAAGUUCUCAGUGUAUGAAAUCCAAGUUUGCAAUUUGGAAAUGUGUAAAAUAAGCCUUAAAAGUGUUUUUCUGUUAGUAUUAUCUGAGACCAAGUUGAAGGCUUACAGGAAAAAAGAUCGUGUGGAGACAGGAAACAUGACCCCCCCUUUAAGGCUUGGGGAUACUGAAACCUGCCUAUACCCUCUGGUGAAAAUGCAGCCUAUAUUUAGGUGCUUCAAGUUCUUCUAUCACUCUCGACUAAGAAAAUAACCUUGAAAGCUAAAGGAUGUGAAGGAUGACAGCACUCUGCCAAAAAACCUAGCAAUAUUUUGGUCUAGCCACGGUGAUAUGUAUCGAUUGUACUAGGCCAGGCUAAGUACAAGACUUAAAAAGGAAUUCCUGCUUUACAGCAUGAAGUCUAUCCCUUGUCCCCAUAUCUACCUCUCUCCUUCCUCUGACAUCAAAUUACCUUCCCUCACAUUUGCCAACCUUCUUCCUCUCAAAAAAUAAAGGAAAACCUAAGAACCAACCCUCCCCCCCCCCCGGAUCGAAACUUCUGGUAAAUGAACAUUUAAUUAGUUGGAUUAUUUUGUUUUUAUUUUUUUUAAAUGGUGAAACAUGAUCUGCUAAGUUGCUAAGACUGUAUUUCUGCUUACUUUGAGCAAGAACUCUACCCAAGAGUAAACCAGGGACAAUUACACAGCAGUUUGUUGCUGUUGGUUUUUUCCUAUAAGAGACUAAGUCUGUUGCUAAAAAAUCUAUGGUCCUAACAUUUUGUUUUCGUUUGGUUUUAAACUGAGUGCAGGACAAUUAGCUGCUACAAGAAGUCUGUAAAAUGCCCAGGGCCCCAGACUCUCAUAAACCUCUGAGUUGGAUGCUCUGUGAUACAAUGAGCAAUUUCCUUCAUCUUUUACUGCCCUUGUGAAUCUUUUAUUGAGGCAGGCUUUGAAAACAAAUCCUCAAAUCGCUCUGUUCCUACAGUCUUCGAACUUGUACAUAUACUUCCCUGAUGACAAGCUGCUAAGAAAUGCUCUAUAGAAGUUUUUAAGUUUAAGAUGGUUUGCCUGCCACUUUGUCAUACAAAAGAGAAUAGGAUUCAGGACUGAUACUCCAAAAUUAACUAUGUCCUCCAAAUUCUGAGAUGGGAGACUGCCCUAUCAUAGGGAAGAAACCUGCAUACAAUGGUGGACAGAAUUGUUAAAAAGAUUGAAGUUCUUGAUUUUCUCAAUCAAAAAAUUUCACAUCCUUCCACCUCGGCCCAAAAAUCACAGAACAUAUAAAGGCUGAUGAGCUUUCUACAUGAAAAAUAUGACAAUAUUUUCUUGAGGAUCAUUAAGAGAAAAUAUUUUAAGGCAUUGCACUCUAUAAUGGAGCUUGCUGAAAAUAGACUCACAAUACAAAAUUAUUACUGAAGUGCAAAACACCUUUUGAGGCCCCUGAGAAGAUCUGAACAGUUGAUACUAAGGAUCCUCUAGGAACUUACAAGUAUUAAGCAAAACCUUUGAAGCAGUGAGGAGCCUUAACAGAAGAAUAGCUGAAUGGCAAAAUUAUUUUGUGAUACUUCUUUCUACAUACAUUACUAUUAAGGAGAGAAAAGGGAAAGGUAAGAGUCCUGAAAAUGAACUCAGGUCAGGAGUGCCCAGACUACAGCUAGAUGAAAUUUUUCAGACAACAUUUUUUUUUGCUGAAAAACCCAAAUUCAGGUCAACCAAACAUUUCCUGAGUUUGUGCCACUUUUAGUGAAUUGUUUUGGUUUAAACUAAUUGUUUUGUCAUUAUCCAAACAAAACACCCAAACCCAGAUUUUUUGCUUUCUAGACUCACCAGGGGAGUUAGGCAUGUGAAGGAAGAGGUAGUGGUGGUAUGGGAAACCCAGGUUUGAUCCCAGCUCUAGAGCAGGGACUGGAACUCAGUCUCUCCCUCCCAGGUAAAUGCCCUAACCACCAGACUAUUGGCUAUUCUGGGAUGGGGGUAUCAAUAUCUCCUGCUGAAGCAGUUUUACUUUGUAUAAAUAAUUAGUCAUUAGAGCAGGGACUCAAACACUGGGUUCUCCCACCCCGCAAGUCACCAGACCACAGAGUCACACCUUCCCUCUCUCUCUCUGGCCCAAUGACUAUUCAAGUAUUUUAUCAAAAUAUUUUAGUACUUCUGUAUAUGGCAUUGGUGAGAACUGUACUGGAAAACUGGUGGUCUCUUCCUAAAAGUAUGCCCCAAUAUAACCACAAGAUAUUAGAUUUGAUGCAGGAAUUACCGGGUGAAAUUCUAUGACCUGUGUAACCUAGGCAAGGACCAAUAAACACAAUGGUCCUUUCCAGCCCUAAUCUAUUCAUUUACAAAAACCUUUCUUAAAGUGGAGCUAAGGUUGCUGUCACACAAUAGGACCUUCCUAUCCCUAUACCCUUCUGGAACAUAAGGCUUCAAAACUCAAAUAUUAGGAAAUAUUCACUUACGGUCUUCUCACAUAUCCCCAAAAGAAUGUUAGUGUGAUAAGAAAUGCCACCCCCUCCCCCGCCAACAAACAUACUUAUGCAAGCCAGGGGAUCUGCAGUUAAAGUGCUGUUUCAUUCAUAAUGAAACCACACAACCUUAGCUCUAAUCCAUAAAUAGUACAGCUCAGCUAAGGAAUCUGCACGCUGUGGCUGGGAGCCACACUUGACUCAAGCAGAGCAGCUGUUCAUUCUGCAGAGUCAAGAGCAAAAUAUAAUCUUAAAAACAAAAAUGAGAGUUAAAUUUUAGAGCUUGUUCUCGAUGCUAGACACCAGUUCUCACUGCCUGUUUUUUCACCUACCUCUCUACAGAAAGAUAUAAGACGUGUUGUGAUUUUAGUAACAGAGCCAGAGUUUAAGGCUAGAAGUAAAUAUUUUGGGGGGCUGUGUCUCUGGAACCCCUUGAGCAAACAUUCUCAAAUGUGUAUCAUAUAUUCUACCCUGGCCCAUACCAAUUUUCAAACAGGUUUGAGUCUGACUGUGUGUGUGGUUUUAAGGAGGAUUGCAAGUUGGGCUGUAAGCAGAAAACAUGUUGCAAUGUUCUCUAUAGUACCACCGUGUAAUUCAAAACUUCAUGGUCUGGUUUGGUUCUUGUAUAUUGACUGCUUUUGGUAGACGGGGGUAGCAUGAAUCAUGUCAGCCCUAAGUUCACUAAUAUUUAAUCGUUUACAUGCUAAAUCACAUGUACAUUUUAAAAGUAUAUUUAUUAAACUUCAUUAGACCUAUAAUUGGUCAUGGCACAGUGCCAGGGGAAGGACUUAAUGCCUUCUCAAGGUCCCUUCCAGUCCUACAUUUCUAUGAUUCUAUAUACUGGGUCUGACAUUGCGAAGUCCUAAGAGCCUUCCACAAGGUUCUGAAAGCACGUCAAUGAGAGUUUAAGAGCAUUUAGCACUUUCCACAAGGCAUUCAGAAGUUAGCAGAUUCAGGCUUAUUAUUACAGUGUUCAGGUAAUGGCUGAUUAAGAUAUUUCUCUGCACAGACUCACUUUUUGUGUAUGAUCUCUCAUCUCCCUCUAAAAUAUAACUUGGGGACUUUAUACUGGCAAGCAGUGGGGUGGUGUUUUGUAUGUGAAGAUCAGUAUGUUUCAUUUAUUAUUAAAUUCAAGAUAUUAAGUAC